GACGAACGCUGGCGGCGUGCUUAACACAUGCAAGUCGAACGGAAAGGCCUCUUUCGGGGGGUACUCGAGUGGCGAACGGGUGAGUAACACGUGAGUAACCUGCCCUUGACUUUGGGAUAACUUCAGGAAACUGGGGCUAAUACCGGAUAGGAGCUCCUGCUGCAUGGUGGGGGUUGGAAAGUUUCGGCGGUUGGGGAUGGACUCGCGGCUUAUCAGCUUGUUGGUGGGGUAGUGGCUUACCAAGGCUUUGACGGGUAGCCGGCCUGAGAGGGUGACCGGCCACAUUGGGACUGAGGUACGGCCCAGACUCCUACGGGAGGCAGCAGUGGGGAAUAUUGCACCAUGGGUGGGAGCCUGAUGCAGCAACGCCGUGUGCGGGAUGACGGCCUUCGGGUUGUAAACCGCUUUCGCUCAUGACGAAGCUUUGUGUGACGGUAGUGGGUAAAGAAGCACCGGCUAACUACGUG
rnacentral:rRNA from 1 species